rnacentral:lncRNA from 1 species
CAGCGAGUGCGAACGUAGAUAGGAAAGCUUCGAAGGAACUGCACUGCAUCCACGAAACGGCCCCACAUGUCGCCUGCUAUCGAUUGGCGGUUUCGAAGAGUCGUAGUGACACUGCGCCGCCGACUGCAUGGUGCCGGCAGAGAUAGUUCGUGUAUUGCAGCGUGUGUCGUAGAUUGUUGCUAAUUUUAGUUGUGACUGCGUCUUCUGAUAAAGCCAGAUGCCUGUUUGGCCUUGGACACCACGUCGAGACACUGCUCACGAGGUCGAAAACGCAGAAUGGAUGCGCGCCGGCGUUGACGAUCGAUGUAGGUGCAUACACAUUUCCAG